rnacentral:tRNA from 1 species
GGGGGUUUAGCUCAGUGGUAGAGCGCUUGCCUAGCAAGCGCAAGGCCCUGGGUUCGAUCCCCAGCUCCG